rnacentral:rRNA from 1 species
UGGGGAAUAUUGGGCAAUGGGGGAAACCCCGACCCAGCAACGCCGCGUGAAGGAUUGAAGGUCUUCGGAUUGUAAACUUUUGUCGCAGGGGACGAUAAUGACGGUACCCUGUGAGGAAGCCACGGCUAACUACGUGCCAGCAGCCGCGGUAAUACGUAGGUGGCAAGCGUUGUCCGGAUUUACUGGGUGUAAAGGGCGUGUAGGCGGGACUGUAGGUCAGGUGUGAAAACUUAAGGCUCAACCUUAAGACUGCAUUUGAAACCACAGUUCUUGAGUAUCGGAGAGGAAAGUGGAAUUCCUAGUGUAGCGGUGGAAUGCGUAGAUAUUAGGAGGAACACCAGUGGCGAAGGCGGCUUUCUGGACGAUAACUGACGCUGAGGCGCGAAAGCGUGGGGAGCAAACA